GAGAGUCACACAGAGAGUGUAAUGUACUGUGUCUGUAUCAGUAAUCAAUUCAUUAUAUUUGCUAAACAUGAUUUUGAACAAAUGUUCAUUUGAAUCUUAAUCUCUAUCAUUAAACUUACUCUCAUCUGUGUUAGCACAGGUCACAGAUCUAGUAUAUCAAGCACAUGAUAAACCAGAAAAUGAAACAUACAGAAUCUGAUGUGUAUGAACUUAUACACAGUCUAUACGUCCAGUAUUACACUGAUUUAUGAAUGUAUAAAGCUCAAGCUAUUGCUUAAGAAAAAGAAAGAAUGCAACUGACUUACUAAUUUUACACAUUUAGUUGAACUUUCAGUUUGUUAUUUAUUACUUACUACUACAGUAAUACACACAUUUGAGUGUUUCACCUCCUUUCAGUUAUCCACAUACUUUACAAUAUAAUAUGUUAGAAGGUAAUAUCAUGUCAUGUUAAAUGAAACUCAUUAUUUUAUACUAUUAUACUAUUUAUACUAUUUAUUUAUUAUUAAGGUCUUAAUAAUAAAUAAAUAUUAAUAAACCUUUGGAGAUUCUCUCUGUUUAUGGCUGUCUAUUAUCUUAUGUAUGAGGACGAUUAUAAACUGUGGAGGAGAAGAAUGGAGAAGUAUCUGUUAUAAAAGGUUUAUAAGCGCUUGCCCGAGAGUUUGAACAUGUAAUAUGUUCUUGAUUGACAAUCUAUAUCACGAGGACGCGCCACCUGGAGUCACGUGAUCAUCAACGGUUAAAUUACUUGCUGGAAGUGACCAUCGCAUGUACCCUUCAAUAACGGCCUUGUGGAAGGGCCCUUCGUGGAGGGCUCGAGUUGCUCACUUUCGUCUGGAACACCGCUUCCCGCAGUGCCCUUCAAGGGGGCAAAAACGGCAUUUGGAAAUCGCCCACUUUUAUCUGACCUUCCAAAUGAUUUUGAUAAAAUCGCGGUAAACAUCUGAGCGCUCUCUGCGCAGUACUCAGCGGUGAGUUUAACAACACUCGACAUGUGCAACAGCAUUAAUGCUCGUCAAGAGAUCCGUGGUCCAGUUCCGGACUGGAGCGUGUUUAAGCGUGUCUGAGCAUAGUUCAGUUACACUCUUCUCCAAAACAUGAACCAGCAGCUGUUGGGUGAGCACAUUUUAUCGCGUCUAAUUCACUCAAAUGUAUUUAUGCAAAUUGUUUAACUGCUGGAUUCAGUCAAAACUACAGACUUAAGAAGUGAUGUCAGCUCAUAUGCACAACCUUUUUUAACAAAAGGUAAAUCGAUGAUGAAAACCGAAACUUCAAAAUAAAGUACAAAGUAAAAUUUGCUUUUUAUUCUCCAUUCUUUUCUGUAGUGCUUGUAAAAAGAUUAUGUGAAGCUGAUCCGGUGUUAUGGAUCCACUGGGGAUGUGCGCGUGCACGUGAAUAACUGUACUUGCCUUUUCAGCAGAUUCCUUCAGUGUGAAUUGUCAAGGGCCCUGUCCCAACACCCACACUUGCGGUCUUGGCCACUUGAGUGCGCGUGCACGCAACAGGAAGUAAAUGUUCAAGACUGUCCCGUGUCUAAAACAUGCCAAAGCUCAGUGCACUUAACCCGCACUAAAUCCUCACUAGUGCGAAUACCGCUUCAGAGCGUCUUUCAGGCUAAAUGUAUCCCAGAAUUCAUCACGAUCAGGAGCCACCACCCCCCGAGCGAUCGGUGUAUUUUCGACAUGAUGACGUCAAGGGAAACUUUUCAGCACAAGUUAUUUAUUAUAAUCAGAGAGUGAAAUGUAAGUGAAGGAUAUAUUUAUUUUAGUAUAAAUGAAAGUAAUCAACAUUAUAUAACGUGUUUGGGAUGACUUAAUAUCAGCGUCAUAAUUACAAAAUAUUAUUUAUGUGUAUAUUUAUAUUUGUUAUCCUUCUCGCCCAGUAAUCACAUUAUUUUGUUUGUUCUUGCCUAAAACUGCUGGUCAUUUUGCUCAUUUAUCAGCCAGUGUGGCAUACAAUAUACGGUCUAGUAAAUGUUGUUUUAAAAUUAAAUAUUUAUCAACCACUACCACAGGUUCUUUCUCAUCUUUAUAUAUUUAAAAUAUACGUUUGAAUGCUUUUUAUUUGUUGUAUGAAACCACAUACUGAUAAGUUAAGUAAAGCAGUCUUUGGUCGUCUUAUAUAAAUGUCAAGCCAAAUCAUAUAAUUUAAAUGGUUUGUAUUAGUAGUUAUUAAUGAAUCACACAGGUUUAUAGAAUAAAGUUUUUAUUUUUUUUAAUUAAGUUUUAUGCAGUGUAUUGAGAAACAAAGUAGAAAGAAAUUGCUUAUAUUUCAUAUUUUACAGCAGUUAUGGAUGAUGAAAUUUUACAGUUAAACUUUUUUAAUGUGCAAAGUUUUGAAAAUCAAAAUGAGUAAAAAUAAUUAACUUUUACAAUUAUUUUCACACAAUAAAAACAUUAUAACAAAUGUUACUUACAUAUUUCUAUACAGCACAAUACACUUCCAAUAACCAGUGGUGUAUUAAUAAAUGAAAAGAUGGGUAACAUUUUCAGUUAUUUAUUAUUUUAAGUAGGCUAUAACAGUCACUGCUACUAAAAACAAUCAGUCUUCAGAUGAGUGAAAAGACAAAAACAGCUGUCACAUCCAGCAGCAACAUCUUUAAAUCUACAAGUGUCCCAACAUGCAAUCAAAAGUCAUCCACACACUCGCAGUCUUCACGUCUAAUUGCACACUAGUGGCCAAACACCGGAAAUACGUAAGACGAGUAAGUACACAAGACCAAAACCGCAAGUGGAGGUAUUGGGACACGGCCAAUGAGCAAAGAAAAGACUUUUGCACAUUAUAAAAAAUGUUUGUACACUGAAAAAAGGGCAAUGGGGAGAUUGUUGAAUGUGCAAAUAUGCAGUUCGUAUUUCCUACAUGAUUAAUUUAUAUUUCUCAUCUAAACAUAUUUUAGUCUUGCACCAUUCAUUUAUUGAUGAAGGAUGUCCAAUCUUUUAUAAUAAGUCAUGUUGAAACGUAAGAAAGUAGUUAUGUUUUCUCCGGAAACUCCGCCCCCUGGGAAUACACGUACGUAAGGCUGUGCGUUUCUGAGGCGUUGGGAAUCGAGAAUCGAUUCCAACGUUUCGAAUCGACUCCAAAGCUGGAGUCGAUUCUUUCCGGGAAAACCGGUUGAUAUUUUCGGACUGUGUUUAUUUCCUCGACCACUGAACUACUACACAUUUGAGAAGCCUAACAGCACUAAUACAGUUUACAAAAUGAUUAUAAAAUGACUGAAUCUUAACGAUCAUCAAUCUGACUCCGAGUCAAAUCCGCUCCGUUUGUUCAUCUGUAUGAAGUAAUCCCACAAGCCCUUCAACACACCUGCUUUCCAAGAGUCGAUUCCAGCCCUAGGCUGUUCGAUUCCAGAAAUUUGGGAAUCGACUCUGAUUCUGAUUCCUGGUUUUGGAAUCGUUAGAAUCGAUUCCAAGAGUCGAUUCCAGAGCCAUUUAAUCGAUUCUUUUUCGAUUCCGAAAAAACGGGAUGCAAAGUUCAGUCUCAUAAUAAACAGCUCACUACAAAGCGUUCUCUGCACUGUUUAUAAUAGCGUGAAUGACAUUUCUUUUAAUAGGUUCAUUCUCAAAUUAAAUCAGGGCCUGUAUGCACAUACCAAAGCGAUGCUUCAAUCCCAUGAGAUACAUUUGAGGGAAGUCUGAGUAGAUGCGCCUGUAUUUCCAAGAACUACCGAAAAUAAUCUUAAAAGCACCAUUGAAAUUGUCUGUUAUCACUCAUGAGUUCUUGUUUAGAAAGAGGUUUAUAUUAUAAUGUACAGUAAAUGUCCACUACCUUUUGUACACUGAAUAAAAUGUCCAAACAAUACAUUUCAGUUUUAUUAAAAAAUCCAUUGUUGUACUGGUUUAUACUAAUAUAUAUAUAUAUAUAUAUAUAUAUAUAUAUUUGUUUUUGAAUGAUUAUUUUUUAAUAUAAUCUUAAUGUAAAAUUGUGUAAGAUGUAGGCUAAUAAAAAAAUAAAUAUAUGCAAAAGGUUUUAAACACUGUAAAAAUGUCGAGAACGAAUAUAAGUUUUAGAUUCUCGCUUUUAUAAGUGCAGCACAUUGAUCAUUCAAACUUUAACAUACAGAUUUAUUGAUGUGAACUUGGAAGCUGACUCAACUCUGCCAUCUUCUUAUUGCAGACUUGUGUUGUAACAUCGGGGAAGUUAUUACUGUAUGCCAGUUUACUGUCACAAAUGUGGCAUGUUACUUGAUUAUUAGUUUAAUCCAAAGUAAAACACCGGCAGACUAUCCAGGUGUGGAAAGCAGGUGUGUUGAAGGGCUUGUGGGAUUACUUCAUACAGAUGAACAAACGGAGCGGAUUUGACUCAGAGUCAGAUUGAUGAUCGUUAAGAUUCAGUCAUUUUAUAAUCAUUUUGUAAACUGUAUUAGUGCUGUUAGUCUUCUCAAAUGUGUAGUAGUUCAGUGGUCGAGGAAAUAAACACAGUCCGAAAAUAUCAACCGGUUCCCCCGGAAUGAAUUGACUCCAGCUUUGGAGUCGAUUCCAACGUUUCGAAUCGAUUCUCGAAUGCCUCCGAAUCGAAGAAUCGAUUCCCAGCCUUCCACGUGCGCUUUGCGAGGGAAAACUGCACCACAGUCCGCCAUUUGGUCUCUCGCUUUGGGAAAGUUAUUGUGGGGUCGGAGAUCUACACUGUGAAGGUAAUUAAAACUUCAAACUCAAAUGCCAGUGAGAAACAGAGAGUAGCCCCUUUGAAUGAGUACAUUUUCACGGAGGUUAUGUUUUUAUGUACUGGUUAUAUCGAGCAACAUGAUGGAAAGGCAAAGUUAGUGCUAAUGCUCAAGUUAGGUAAAGAUAACACUAGCUUUAGCCGCCGUUGAAUAUUAUGAUGUGUAUUGACGUUUUUAGAAUUGUGUGCAAUCCCUCAGGCAUGUUUUUUCAGUGUAUGUCGACUAAUUAGAACAAACUUGAGUCAGUAAAAGAGAGACUAAUGUUGACUUUUGGCGCCAACAGUGUGUUAAUGUGGGAGCGGAUGUGACGUCACGUUAGCGUUGACUUGUUGAAACAUGCUGACACAAAACAAAGAAAAUUCAAUCAGGGGCAGACUGGGCUGUACAGCUUUGAAUCUGAACCAAACAAUUACUGAUAUUGAUAAGUAGACUGUGUUUAUUGUCAAUUUUACUAUUGAAAAGGCUAGUAUAUGGCUUGUUUUUUUAAUGUCUUUUCUUAUAUAUUUUUAUAUGUAAAAGUAACAUUUAAUUUAGUUGCUGUAUAGAUAUCUGGUGUUCCUCCAGACUGACUUCUGCUUUGCUUUGAAUGCUGUUUGGUAGUAGUGGUGAGUAUUAUUCACAUCUUUUAAUUGCAUUAUUUUAUUGUAGGUGUUUCAGUGAACAUUUGUAUGUGCUAUCUCAGAUAGGCUAUACAGAAGUGUAGAAAUAAAAUUAAUUGAAAGUUUAGUAUAUGUUUUUAAAAGUAAAAUCUAUGUAAUUCUAAGUAUUAUUCAAAGGCAAUAUAGCAUUAACUUUUAUUUAGGUAGUCUCUGAUGUUUCUCUAGUCAAAGCUUUUGAUGACUGCUUUGCUUUGAAUGAUCUGCAUCUGUGGAUUUGAUGAGCAUAACACAAAAGUCUUAAUUAUACUCAUUUUUAAAGUCAUUUUUAACUUGGUAUUUGGUUGUUAAAUUGACAUUUUGAUGAGCUGUCUCAGAUAUUAUAUACACAGGAAAUAAAAGUAUUUCUUUUUUAAAACAUUUGAUGUUUAAAUGCAUAGGUGUCUAUAUUUCUGGUGGUUGAAAUGCCAUGUGGAUUAGCUGUCUCAGAUUAACAUAUGUAGGAAAUCUCACCAACCAGUUGGAAAUAUAAAAUAAAUGUAAAAUUAAUAAAUUUGUAUCAGUUUAUUUGUAAAAUUCAGAAGGAAAUAUGCUGAAUUCUCUGAAGCUUUACCUACCUCUGUGAAAAAUGUAAUUACUUUAAAACUAAAGUUAGCUACUGCUUUAUGCCAUUCCUCUCUGGAUGAAUCCUCGUCCCUGUCUAGUGGGUGUGCUGACACUGACAUACUGUCUUCAACAGAGUCAGAGACAUCCAGCUCUAAGCAAUUUUGGCCCAGCAUCUUCCGUGUUCCUCAGAUUUGCUUUGAUGCAGAGCUGAAACUUGAGCGAGGCAAUGCAGCAUACAAAGAGAAGGGUACAUUGCUUACUCCAGAUCCUAAACUGAAGUCGAACAUUCUUGAAGGCCUGGUUCAAGAAAUUGUCCGAUACAAAGUUUAUGUCACUGAUAAAGAGUUUAACACAGUUGGAGAGGCCCUCAUCUCUAAACAUCCUUGUCUCACUGAGAAAGGCUCCCUGACAGGAUAUGCUGUUUGGAAAGCUAUCUUAAAGAAUAAACUCGCAAUUUACCGCACCCGCUUGAGAAAACUGGGAUGUCCUGAGGUGAUUAUAAACUCUGUUAAGCACAAACUGGAGGGCAAAACAAGUGCUGCUUCUGCUAUCAAAAGACAACGGCAGUCUGAAGUAAACUACUGCCCCCCCAUCCCACCGGAGAAUCUGAUGAGAGCCUUGAGUGUCUGAGAGUGGCACUUCUUUCAGAUGUGAAGAAAAACAACAACAGGGAGGUGGUUAGGAUGAAAAUGGAAAAGACAUUUGCAUAUAGGAGAUAUGAAGUGGUUCGUGACACCCCCAUGAUCCAAGACUUCAGGACAAGAUCUUUGCACUCUUUGACGUAAGCGAGGUUUGUCAUUCAUGAAAUUAUUUUGUAGGUCAUUGUUUCAAUGCAGGUAUUUUGGAAUUGAAUAUGUUAACUGUGUAGCAGCAGCUUUGAGGAAACUGUCAAAACUCAUUGUGAAUUGUUUACAAUUUUCUUGGUUUGGAUGUUUUUUUUAUUUUUAUCACCACCUGAGGCUUGUCUAAUAACCCAAGUUUAACUUGAUCAUUUGACUAUUUUACCUUUUUGGAAAUCCCUGAUUUUUUUUCCACAGGAAGCUUGUAUAAGCCGGACUUGUUGACACAGGAUUUUCAAUCUAUUUUACAUGUACACUGACUGAAAACAUGCUAGUUGUAGCAGCAAAACAAAAUGUAGGGUUGGAUAAAUUAUAUUAUAAAAACUAGGACAAUCAUAAUAUUAUAAGAAAAGUUUUAUGACAAAAAAAAUUCUAGGUUUUUAAAUUGAAUUUACUAAUUUAAUGAUAAUAGUUUUUAACCUUUUUCAAUGUGCGCCUUUCAGAACUGCGUGUCGACAGUAUUUUUAUACGUGAUCACUCUUGUUUUCAGAUAAAUGCUGAAUUUAAGCGCAUUACCACCAUGCCCCUACAGUCCAGAUUUCUGUCGCAGAUAGAUGCGCUGUCUGACAAAUUUCUAAAGCUAUUUCAAAAGCGAGGAGGACAGAUAGGAAGAAGACUGCAGACCAUCAUGAACCCAUGGCUCAAGAUAAUGAUGUUGAUAUUUGAUGAGAGUGCAUUAUCAAGGGGCUCUGCGUGUACCUCAACUAGGACCAGGACAAUUUAGUGAGAGUAUGUGGCUGCAGAUGAAGCUUUCAUCCAAAGAUCCAUUGAGGAGAUCACAGUGGGAAUCUACGUUCUCAAACACACAUAUGCCCAUGACAGACCAGAGGACACUGGGAUUGUCCUUGAGGGCCAGAUGGUCUUACAAGAUUUGGGUAACUUUGCAUUAGCUGCUGCGAUUUUAUUUGGACUAAUGUAUGAUGUGUAUAGCAUGUGUACUGUGGGUUUUUUUCCCUUGUCAAAUUUGCAUUUAUUUUAUUUUAUUUUUUCAUUAAUGUUACUGACCAAAUUCAAGAUGGCACUUUUAUGGUUUACGGGUAAUUUUAUGUUAUUAAUUAUUUACUUUAUACUGUCAAAGUUCUUAUUGUGCAAUACUGUAAUGUUAUGAGCAAGCAAGUACGAACUCUUAAACUUUGAGCCUGUAAAUCCUGUUAUGGAGCAUUCAUUGUUACAUUUUUUUGAGGUGAAUAAUUAUUUUUUUGUUUUUGGUCUGUUCAUUAUGCUCUCAUAUGGGGUUUGAGUCCUGCUAUAGGAGGUGUGGCUUAUUUAAGUCGAACCAGCAUUAGUCUCAUUAGCAAUAUUAAUAGCCACACCUCGUACUGCUUUGCUUUGUGAUAUUUUACUAAUUACACUUCCUGUUGCCAUAGUGCCUUAUUUUCCUAUAACAGCAUUCGAGCGCAUGUUAAUUGUUUUCCACCAUUGAGAUUGUAAAACACCAGUAAACGCACGUAUUCAUGACAUGACAAUACAUUUUAUUGUAAACUAUUUUCAUGUUUAUCCUUUUCUCUCGUCUUCCUGGUCGUUUUAUUAAAGCGUUUUUCAUUUUAAGUUUAGUAGGGGACAUUCACACUGAACACGUUUUUUCCAUCCGUCCGCACUGUUUUUCAAUGUGAAGGAGCGCCUGUAUAAAAUGGGUCAUUUCACAAUUCAGUGACAUUUAUUCCCCAGUACAAGUUUGUGUGGUAUUUAUAUUGUUUAAUUUCAACUGAUUACAUUUUUAAUAAGCUUGUUAUAAAGAAUAAAGACUAUUUAUAAUGUUACACACUUCUGUGAGCUUAAAAGCUCAAUUUUAAUUUAAAUCCUUUUCAACUUUUGCACUGUCAUUUCCUCUUGUCCCCAAAACUGCACGUCAUAAAGCUUUGACAAAAAUAAAUGCUAAAUCAAUGGAUUUGUUUUUUCCCCAUACAGUUAAGAGUUUAGUAUUACAUUCUCUCACUAACAUGUAUUCAUUUGUGGUAAAUGUGUUAUUUUAACACUGAUAGUGGAGAUGUUUUGUGUGUCCUUUGACUUAUUGUCCACCCUGUUAUGUCAUGAUACUAUGACCUUUCACUGAAGAUAUAUGUUAUGAAAUGACAUCACACACUGGAGGUGGACAUCAGCCAUCCUGCAAUUUUUUUUUGUUAUUUGAAGUUUGUAACUUUUUAGUUGUAUUUAUGUUGUCCUUUAUUUUGUGGUUUUAGUCAUAUGUUAUCAAGCAUAAUAUUGGGAAGAUAUGUGGGGAAUUCAUGUAAUUUUAAAACUUCAAUAUACAGUAUUUAUGCUAACAGAAGUAAAAUCAUCAGUAUUAGUUUACGAAUAUGUUUACUAAAUUUAAUCACUGAAUGUCCACCCUGUUAUUGUCCAUCCUGACGCUGCCCAGUAAUUUAACUUUACCAGUUUGACUAAUACAAUCUUUAACAUGUCCCUGUAAUGAUGAAACAUUAAGAUACUUGUAAAAUAAUAUUUUAUUUUUUUAAAGUUUCAAAGCCAGAAUGUCACCGAAUUGUAGGAAUGACCUAUAUACGAUAUUUACAGUUGCAGUUUAGCCGCUCUCUAUACAGAUUGUUUAUGCCAGAGUAAGCAUUUAUAAACUGCUGCUUAUCUCACUGCUGUGACAAUUCCUCUGUUGUCCCUUCUCCACCCCAACUCCACCUUCUGUCUAUUUAUUACUAAACUCAAAUAAAGUCCAGGGGGGUGUUUAGAGCUCGGGUCGAGUCUCGUGCCCUCCAAAUUAGACAGUGAGCCAAAUCUGUUUACCUUUACCUCUAUCAAUUAUUACAUUCACAUGUGAACUACUGAAAUCACUAAAGACAGAGAGUGAUUGCUGGUCAGUGAGGGGAUGUAGUUUUCCUCUUCAUGAAUCAGUCAAUGAAUCUUGUGGGGUAAAGUUACGGAUCUGAAUAUCUUUUAGAUGAUUUUGCAGAUUUAAACAGAAUUCAUAAGUAAAUGAAACUAAAUUCACUUUACCUUGUGGCAUAGUAAAGACAUGAACAUUGAACUGUUUUCUUAUUUUAUCUGAUGUUUUUGUCAUGUUCGGCCCUGAUGAACAAUUUAAUCUGGACUGUUUUGCUAUGGAUGUGCAGAGGAUCAUUUAUCUAAAAGGAGUGUAGAUCAUUUGAAGUAUGUUUAAGUAUGUAUAUUGUGUAAAUGGCAACAUACUACAUACAUGAUUGUAAAUGUGCACAUCUAAUAUCUUUUUAAAGGCACAUGCCAGCCACUGUUUCUGAGAUUUCUUUUUUGUUUUUGUUUUUCUCAUUUGUACCAUUUUAGCUUGUGUUUUCUGUCUGAAGAUGGGCCUAAUGCACUGUAGUUCCCUCUCCUUUAACAGAUGUCAAAGCAUUUUGAUUUGUAUUUUGUCACAUGGAUGAUGUUGUGAACAUGUUAUACACUGAACGUGGAUCUGAUUGCAUGAGUUGUGUGUUUUUUGGUUGAGUCUUUUGCUUUGUUUAUAUCCAGGCAUCUGUUUAGAAGCAGGUUUUACAACACACUUUAGCCAGUUCAGAUGGGAGUUUAUAUUCAAUUCUGUUGUGUUGUUUUUGAGUUUUAAUGUCAUUUUAUGGAGUUGCUGCCUUAAUGUAAUAAAUGUUUUGAAUUCAGUUCAUGUCUCAGUGGCUGUUUAUCACUGUGGGGAAGGUGCUGCGUUUUAUCUAAAUACAUUCGGUUGGUUUGGAUGUUAAUUCUGUAGCGUUUCCUCCAUAAAUCAGGGAGUGAUGCAGUUGAUUAAUGCGACGGUGACUACAUUUCCAAAAAUAAUCUUGUACUAUUUUGAGGAAAACAGCAAUUAAAGGUAUUUUCUAAACUAAAUCUCUAUCAAAAACACAAUAUACACAUUUAUUUAAUGUGUGAGCCACUAUCUUAAAGUGUAUUAAAGGUCAAUCAGUACUUCAGUAAACUGUUGAACUUGUUAGACUGGUAAAAUCUGCUAGAUAACUAGUAAAUUAGAGUGUGGAUAUAAGAUGCAUUAAGUAUUCAUUCAUUCACAAUAUUAAUUUUUAGAAGACAAAGAUUGCAUUUCACACUGAUAUUUUUCCAUGUCUCACAGAGUAUUUCUGUAUGUGGUGAAAUAAAGCUGUUCAAUGUUUUAUAUUCAAUGUCAGUAGCAGUACAUGACUGAGAUCAGGACUGUCUGUUCUCCCUCUGCUUUCUUCAGAAAUCACAUAAAAGCCUGCUGAACACACAUCAGGCUUUGGCUCAGACUGUUCUUUUAAAAUUUAGGGGGCACACUUAGUAAAUUACAAACAUCUUUUCAAAGUAAUUUCCAGAGAGGUGAUGUAAUCGAUAGGUAACUUAAAUCCAUUAAAACAUGACUAAUCUGAUUACGCUUUCUUUAUAAUAUAAUGUAGUCUCAUUACAAAAACUUGCCUUUUGUAAUCUGAUUAUGUAAUCCAGACUACAUGUAGUCCAUUACUAAAUGCUGAUGAACCUUCAGGACAUUGCAGGGGGUUUAGACGAAUCCGAGACUAAGAGAGUAGCUGAAUAUGGUUGUCAGUGCUGUUUUAGAAGCCACAAUACAGUAACAUUUAAACAAGAUUAACGAGAGUGACAAAGACAUUAUAACUGACUCGUGUACAUUUUCAGGACUGGAA